GAGUAGCUCAAACGGCAGAGCGCUCGCCCGGCAUGCGAGAGGUCCGGGGAUCGAUUCCCGGGGUAAACG